ensembl:miRNA
AGGUGGGAGAAUCGCUUGAACCUGGGAGGUGGAGGUUGCAGUGAGCUGAGAUCACGCCACUGCACUCCAGCCUGGG